UCUGUGCACUCUCAGCCAUGGAAGAUGGGAUCAGAAACUUCCGAGUUCUGAAGCUCCUCACUCUCACUUUGUCUUCUUUUUCCCUGUGCUGAGCGCGAUGGGUUGUUCGGUGCUGCUGGUACCGUUGAAAUGGUUGAGAAAACGAAGCCUACUCAACAUCGUGUGCAAGAACUGAGGGCAUUAGGCUUGACUCUUCAUCUGCUUGCAUGUCGAUCUGCACAGCCUUUGCUUGAAAAUGCCAAGGAGAAGCUUUGAAAAAACCAAGAAGUGGCUGCUGCUGCUGAUUUAUUCGUUGCAUAUUGUGGAUGUUGCUGCUGUUGAUUUAUUCGUUUGCGCGAUCAACUGAUGGAACCUGAUUUCUCUGGUUGUUUUGACAGUUUGGUGCUUGUUGCUCUUUCGCAGCAACAAGGAGGUAUAAACAAGACGGUUACAAGCUCUCUGGACAACCUUUAUGAGAAGGAGUUAAUAGAUUGCGAUAGAAGCUAAAAUGAAGAUUGUGAUGGUGGGCUCAUGGACUACGCAAACCAGUUUGUUAUAGAUAACCAUGGGCAUCACUGAGAAAGAUUACCCGUAUGAGGGCUAAACAAAAAUACUGCAAUAAGAGCAAGGUUGCUAUAAGAAUUUUGAUGGUAAUCAUCUUGCAUUGAGGGAAGUGGACCCGACAUUCGAUGAGGAGCUUAUUAACUAUGAAAGGAGCAAAAAGCAUAUGCUCAAUCUGUCGCAUUUCAGAGAUGAUGCAAGUUCAAGUGAUAUUGUUUAAGACAACUGCUUACUUUAAA